GGGCUGACGCAUCGCCGGUGCCCAUCGCUCACGGAAAGCGAACUUGGCGCGCGCGCACACGCACACGCACACGCACACUGCCGCCCGCGCCACGCGCUCCCAACUUGUCCCACGCCCCGGGAGCAGCUCCAUCGUCUUUGAAGUGUUCGCCCUCAGAAACUCCACUCACUGAUGCACGCUUUGUCUGAUUUACUCACGCAGACUCUUUCGUGGGCCUCUGAAACAAGUCUCUGACUCUCUAGGGCACAAAAAAUGAAUGGAUCCAGGGAUUGCGGGUGGAGAACUGUCUGGAAAACCAAGGACUCAACAAUAGAGCACCAAGCUUGUAGCUACUUCUCAUGAGGGAUGAACAAUCUUCUCUCUUCCAAAGGAGAGCAAGGGUCAGUCAGUUGAGAAGACUUUUGAGAAGUGGUCUCUUUGUUAGCCUGUGAAAUUGCAGUGAUCACAUACACUUGCAGCUCCCUGGACUCUCACUCUCCCUCACUCACAGCAAGUGCUGGCCUUGGAGGAGAGAUGGAACAAAGGAGCGAGACCUGGAACCCCGGAAAGCACUGACUUUUAAAGAAAGAAAAGGAGACAGCCUGGGGGACAGCAGCAGUUUAAUUCCUCUGGCACUAUUCGACAAUCACAAAGGAAAGAAGCAAGGCUUUUAUACAGAUGGAGAACCAAUGUUCCCUUUCUACCUUUGCCUUUUCUAUCAUCUAUCCUGAGUUGGGAAGAAACAUCCUACCUGCACGAACAGUUACUUGUGGAUUGAAGAAAAAUUAAAGUAAAAUUUAUUUUCCUACCCCUCAAAUCUUGUUUUUUUUUUUUUUUGGUACUGGGGAUCGAACUUGGGUCCUUGCGCUUGCGCAACAGGCGGCAAAACCGCUGAGCUAAAUCCCCAGCCCUACCCCUCAAAUCUUAAUAGCAG
ensembl:lncRNA